rnacentral:lncRNA from 1 species
CGGCGCCGCCUCCCGCGCGCGGGGCUGGGGGGACCCGGCCGUCCCGAGCCGGGCGCGGGCAGGAUCCUGGGACCCUGGACAAGUCGCGUCUGGGGUUGCUCUGCGUUUCGGGGGUUUGCUUUUUUCUAAGACUAACCUCCUUUUUGGGGGGUGUGUGCGAGCAGCGUGUAGGCAUUUGGGAACGGCCCCUGUUUGCGUUGCUCUCGCUGACGACGCGGGCGGGCCCGCUCCAAGCCUGAACUUGACUGCCGCCUGCCCGGGUGCCGGGCGCGGGCGCCGCGCUCUCCCGGCCUCGCCUGCGCGCGAGGGGCCGCCUCCAAAUGCCGGCGUGUGCGCCCACGAGCAGCGUCUGCGUGUGUGUAAUACAGAGCAGGAGCCUCUGCUCACAGUAACUGAACCGCCCGCCCCAGCCUCUCCUGCCCGCCAAGGGGCCCGGGAAGACUGCUGCCUGGAGCCCAUCUCCUCAGCCGUCAGCAGCAGCAGUACUGGGGGACGGUCGUGACUGAUGUGUUUUCUCUUCAGCUGGCCCUGAAGAGAAGGGCAGCAGGCCCCUGGUUCACCCCGCGGUGCAGUGCUCAGCUGGCCUUUCCUUUAAAUGGCUGGGUGCGUUGGAGGCGGCGCCUAAACACGCGCGAUGGCGCAGUCCGGGCAGCACAUCGG